GUCUAGGGACACACCACCCUGAAUACACCCCAAUCGUCUAAGCUCAGAAGCUAAGCAGGGUCGGGCCUGGCUAGUACUUGGAUGGGAGACUAGAGAUAGAAUCUCAAAUGCCUGCACA
rfam:Myotis brandtii contig204473, whole genome shotgun sequence.